UUGAUAUCAUAAAAUACCUUUUGAUAAUUCUAUCAAUUUCAUCAAACUAAAAAUUAUAUCAAAUACUUUUCUUUUUUCCUUAAUACAAGUUAUAAUCAAAAUGUUCUUUUUUCUCAUUUGAACGCCUCUCUGAUACCUGAUAUCUGAUAACUGAAGAUAAUGAUGUUGUUAAGUAAAAACCGCUCACUUUACUGAGAUCAGUAAAAAUGAUGAGCUGUGUUAAUGUAACCCAGGCUACGGAUGGCGUGACACUUGGAUAUUAAAACCGAAGCUACAUGUACAUGUAUGUAUCUAUAUCAACUUCAAAAUUAUCAUCAGGACUUAUCAUUCCACUGUUUGUACUCAUACCGUUAUUACCAUCUUUGGCUAAUACUCAGUUAGACUUUAACUUUAUUAGGAAUAGGUUAUGAGACAGAUGUACACCAUCAACAUCGGGACAGACUCUUCACCGUCUUCCCGGGGACCAACAUCAAGGGAUGCUUUUCCAUUUCACCCCAUGCAACGACGACACUAUAGGAGACUGGUUCGCCGCGCAGCUGUAUUGCCACUUGUACCACUACACCAAGUAGAAGACGUAAGAGGACAUCCAGGAAGCUGACCUACACAUUGACGUUACGCCAUUCACAGACUACGUUGUUGACCAGUGGAUAGAGGUGGAAACAGUUGGGAACCACUACGACCACGACGGACCUGAAGGACGACCAACCACUUAAAAGCCUGGCACGGGAAACUCAAAAAGAUUGUACACCAUACACAUCCUAACAUCUUCACAAUUAUACGGACAUUCAAGGACAUACAGCCAGGCUACUAAUGAGAUAACUAGACUUCAACGUUGCGCUGGACCCCGACCCAGGAAAUACAGAAACAUUGACACUCGCCUUGUCCUUCAGAAACAGAGACUGGAGAACCAUAUAAUAUCCUACACCGACGCAGCCUCCGAAUUUCUUCACUUAGGUUGUACUGAUGUAACAUUUUGGACAAGGUUGUACUGAUGUAACAUGGACAAGGUUGUACUGAUGUAACAUGGACAAGGUUGUACUGAUGUAACAUGGACAGUGCUUUAUCGUAUUUGUAUUGUACUACACUGUGAUAAUAAAUUUGUAGAUUUGUUCCAACUGUGUACAUGUAUACAUGUAUUUGCAUGCCUGUUACAGUUUUCUGUGUAUAUUCAUUGAUUUCAAUUUUGUCCGUUGUAUAACAUUAUAUUAUAUAAACAUAAUGUAAGAUUCUAAUAGUCCUACCAAAAUAUGUGAUAUUAUAUUAACAUGUAAUAUUCUAUGAUUAUAAUAGUGAUAUUUCAAACUGUGUAUCUUUAAAUUAGCAUACAUGUACAUUUCUAGUGCUCUAUAUAAUUAAGAUUCUAAUGAUGUUAUUCCUAUCAAAAUGUGUAAAUUUACAUUAACGUGUAUAAUUGUAGUUCUCAAUUUAUAAUAAAGAUUCUGAUAAUGUCGUUUUCAAAUUAUGAAAAGAUAUAUUAACUUGCAGAAUUCUAAUGUUCUUACUUUUUGUAUAACUUAUCUAUAUCAAUGUGAUUAAUACUAUAUUAUAGAAUUUUUCAAAUUGA